AUCAAACUUAAUACGUCACUGUAGAUAUUAAUGAUUCCAUAAUUCGCGCAAAUUAACUAUCAAUGCUUCUCUUAAAAAUUGCUACGCAUAUAAAUUCGAACGAUAUUUAUUUUAUAUUUACUUACUUGAAAUUUCAUCGAUAUUUGUAUUGUAUUGUAUAUAAAAUUAGAUAAAAAUCUCUACGAAACAUUAGUAAUAAUUAUCUUCUUAAAUCUUAUUAAUUUAUCAAACGGGGAACGGAUUUUUAUAUCAAAUAAAAUACAACCGAUAAGAAUAAAGGAAUUGCACGUUUCGUGUUUAUGUUACGCGAACCUUUUUACUUUAUCAAACGAGUAUCACCUAAAUUGAGUCCAGACACAACAAGCUACCGAUUCCAAACGUCGAUGUUGCAUACAGCUUUUGACAUUCGCUGUGUAGCUAUUUGUAUCGGUAUUUGAAUAACAAAUGUUUGUCGGUGGAGGCGUCCCUUUUGUUUCAUUCUUCGGUCCUUCCACUCCCUUUCCUACCGAAAUAUACGCCGCAUAAAAGAACAGGGCUGAGUUAUGGCAGUCGGUCCCGCGGAUAGAGCCUUCAGGGAUUACAAUCGAAAAUUCAGCUGGUCGAAAAACGCGAAUAAACGUUAAAGGAUGACGUAACCGCGAGAAAAAGGACAACAACUAUGCUUCGUUGAAUGAAACGUUAAAGAUACUUUAUUCAGAAUCGUUUUGGAAUCAGGAGAAGGAAAUUUCUGUUGAUUCGGCAAACCGUGACAUAAAUUGUUUCAUGUUGUGAAACACCGUGAUGCGGCUUCAGUCAGUGACGUUUUACGCUGAAAUAUCGUUUUAAUCUUUAAACUGGUAUGGUGAGAUUCUAUAGUCUACACUCUAGACGGUGUAAACGUUGCGAUAAGUUUCCUCUUUUAACUCAGCCACUUGUUCUUGAAUUUCUAUUUCUAUGUUUCGUUUUUACUCU
rnacentral:misc_RNA from 1 species